ACCUGGGUAGCUCAGUUAGUUAAGCUUCUGACUUUGACUCAGGUCAUGAUCUCAUGCUUUGUGAGUUCAAGCCCCGCUUCAGGUA
rnacentral:tRNA from 1 species